CCUGGAUAACCUAGCAUCACCCAACAUCACAGGCAGCUGGGAGGCUGGACAGAGUACGGACUAGGCUCGACUGAGGUGAAAGCUUCUAGCAAGGCUGUAUCAGAAGUCAAGAGGCUGUUUAAAGAUGACCUGAGGAAUCUGCAAUGGCUGGCAGGACCAUAAGCUCAUCAUCAUCCAAGUAGACACUGUGGCCAGCUGCUUCAUCCGCCAGCCACCAAGCCUCCCCCUCCGUGAUGGAUUGGAGCCUAAAACGGUGUGAAGUAAGCCCCUCCUUCCAGAAAUUGUUUCAUUUAGAUCUUCUGUCACUGCGACAAGAGAAAUCCAUGCCUUCUUGGAAGCCUGUGGAGCCUGGAAACCACUCAGAUGUCAGGGCGACCAAUAGAAUUCUGAACAGAAAUAGCCAGUCACGGGAAACGAGCCCUACAACUCAACUGGGGACACUGGGUGUUGUCAUCAGCAGGGACAGAGCCCUGAGAUUCACUUUAAAGGUGGAGGCACAUCAACUGCUGAUGUCAGCCCUUAGCAGACCACUAAGGAAACACUGAGUGAGGACCCACAGCAAACUACUUUCUCCCAAGGCGAAAUGGCCGGGGGCAAAGCCUCCAUGGAACCUUAAUCUCAGCCCCCAAGCUUUGCAACCAUGCUGUAGAGAGGCCUGCUCUUGAACACCUGGGUGAAAAUUCUACUCUUUGGAAGCGA